GUUAAGAGAAAUUAUAGGGAUACCUUUUGAUGAUAGAUUAAUUAUAGGAGAUUUCAGAAUUAUCAUGGCUUUAUUAUAGGAGAUUUUUGUUUUAUGGUAGCUUUAUUAUAGGAGAUUUACAUUAUGAAUCUGCUACAAAAUUUGCUGAUCGCCUUGAGGAUUGGGAUAGCAAAAGUCACCAGAUCAUCACUUGGCUGCGCAACACAUCUGUACCGUCUAUUCAUAUUCAGUUUGAUAACUAUGAUUCUGCAAAAGAAAUUUGGGAUUUCUUGGAAAACCGCUAUCAGACCACUGGACUUGCUCACUAUUAUCAGUUGUGGACCACACUUCUCAAUAUCAAGCAAGAACCUGGUCAAUCAGUGAAUGAUUUUCUUGCUAAAGUCCAACCAAUUUGGCAUCAAAUAUCUCUGGCCAAAAUCAAUGAAGACCAUCUUCAUCUCAUUCAAGUUCUCAUGGCUCUUCGACCUGAAUAUGAAGCCGUAAGAGCCUCACUGUUGCAUCGAAAUCCGCUUCCAUCGUUGGAUACUGCUAUUCAAGAAAUCAUUUUUGAAGAAACCCGUCUGAAUCUAGACAAAACUCCUCAAAUGGAUGCUGCUCUUGCAACUACUCGAUUCUCACACAAGAAAUCGAAUCAUCAUCCAUGUAAGAAUUGCAAUCGUACUGGUCAUGUAUUUGCUAAUUGUCCUACUAUAGAGGGUAGGUACUGUCACGGUAUUAGCCAUAUUAUUGAAAAUUGUCCCACGCGACCUCCAAAACAAAAUCGUGGCUUUACCAAAUCCAAGAAUGUUCCAAAGUCUGGAUCUUCUUCUAUCUUUGCUGCUACCACUGAGGGUUCGGCUUCCAUUACUAUGAGUGACAUUGAAGCUUUAAUCAAACAGGUUAUAUCUUCCAACACCUCUACUGCCAUGUCUGCUACUCACGGUAAUUCUCGUUGGUUUUUUGAUUCUGCGUGUUGUAAUCAUAUGACGACUGAUAUUAAAUCAUUGCCUUCUGCGACACUUGUUUCUUCUUUGCCACCAAUCCACACAGCUAGUGGCAAUACAAUGAACAUCACUCAUACCGGUCAUGUAUCCACCUCAAAUCUCACCCUGCCUGACACAUAUUACAUUCCUAACUUGACACUUAAUCUUAUUUUUGUUGGUCAAUUGUGUGAACAAGGACUGAAUGUUUAUUUUUCAACAUCUGGUGUUCAGGUACAGGAUCCACAGACGAAGCAGAUCAUUGGGAUGGGUCGCAGGGUGGGUCGGUUAUUUGAGCUCCAAUCUCUCCACCUUCCUAAAGAUCAUAUCUUUGCUGCUACUGUGAACUCCCCCAUUCAUCAAUGGCAUCUUCGACUUGGUCACGCCUCAGCAAGCAAAAUUCAACCUCUUAUCUCUCGUGGGUUAUUAGGAUCCACAAAGUUUGAGUCUUUUGAUUGUUUACAUUGCAAACUUGGCAAACAGUUGGCUUUAUCCUUUAAUCGUAUUGUUUCUAUUUCAAAUAGUCCUUUUGAUUUGAUCCAUUCAGACAUUUGGGGGCCUUCUCCUGUUUCUUCAAUAAAUGGCUUUCGUUAUUUUGUAUUGUUUAUUGACGAUUUUUCUCGUUUUACAUGGAUAUAUUUUCUGAAAAAUCGCUCUGAAUUACCACAAAUUUAUAUUUCUUUUGCUCGUAUGGUUAAAACACAAUUUUCUUGUGCUAUUAAGAUUCUACGCACAGACAAUGCGAUGGAAUAUCGUGAUUCUUCCUUGCUUCAGUUUCUCAGUCAACAAGGCACGACGGUUCAACGCUCAUGUCCUCACACCUCCCAACAAAAUGGUCGAGCUGAACGAAAACAUCGUCACAUCCUUGACUCAGUUCGUGCCCUUCUCCUCUCAGCCUCGUGUCCAGAAAAGUUUUGGGGGGAAGCAACUCUUAAUGUUGUCUAUACAAUUAAUUUACUUCCCACCAUAAAUCUUCAAAACUUAUCUCCUUUUGAAAAACUGUUUGGUAAGUCUCCUGAAUAUUCCAUUCUUAAACCUUUUGGAUAUGCUUGUUUUGUUCUCUUGCAGCCUCAUGAGCGCACAAAAUUACAACCGCGCGCUCGCUUGUGUUGCUUUCUUGGUUAUGACAUGGAACACAAAGGAUAUCGUUGUUGGGAUCCAAUCUCCAACAGAUUACGCAUCUCACGUCAUGUUACUUUUUAGGAAAACACCAUGUUCUCCUCUCUUUCUACAUUUCAUCAUUCUCUUAGCACUGAAUCAUUUUAUUUCACUAAUCCCUCAGUUGAGUUGUUUCCAAGUUCUAAUGAGGAUAACUCUGAUGGGCUCAAUAUUCGUCCACCCUCACCUGCUCCUACUGAACCUGUUUCGGAUGUUGAUAUUGUACCUGCAACUCGUCAUUCCACCCGAGUAAGUAAUCCACCCACUCAUCUUAAUGAUUACCAUUGUUAUUCUGCUAUUAAAAUUCUUCAUGAGCCUUCUUCUUAUCGAGAAGCGAGUACUGACCCCAUUUGGCAGCAAGCUAUGGCUGAAGAAAUUCAAGCUUUAGAAAAGACACAUACUUGGGACAUAGUUGAUCUUCCUCCAGACAAGAUUCCUAUUGGAUGCAAAUGGAUCUACAAAAUUAAAACUCGUUCUGAUGGAAGUGUAGAGCGUUAUAAAGCUCGCCUAUUAGCCAAAGGGUACACUCAAGAGUAUGGGAUAGACUACGAAGAGACAUUUGCUCCGGUAGCUCGAAUAACAUCUGUUCGUAGUCUCUUGGCCAUUGCUGCAGUUCGUCAAUGGAAGCUUUUUCAGAUGGAUGUCAAAAAUGCCUUCCUUCACGGUGAUUUAACAGAGGAAGUAUAUAUGCACCCUCCUCUAGGUUAUCACUCUCCUCAUAAGGUCUGUAAGCUUCAGAAAGCCUUAUAUGGUUUGAAACAAGCUCCUAGAGCCUGGUUUGCCAAGUUCAAUUCUACUCUAACACAAUUUGGUUUUCUCUCUAGUCCACAUGAUUCUGCUUUAUUCACUCGAAGAAGUGAUAGUGGUAUUGUAAUUCUGCUUCUUUAUGUAGAUGAUAUGAUCAUAACUGAAGAUGACAAGUCUGGAAUGAAAGACCUUGGCUAUCUUAGUUAUUUUUUUGGGCUUGAAGUUUCCCAAGACUCAGAAGGCUAUUAUCUCUCCCAGGCCAAGUAUGCCUCUGACUUGCUUUCUCAUGCAGGCAUCACAGACUGCAAGACUGAAUUGACACCAUUGGAAGUAAACUGCAAACUCACACCACUUGACGACACUCCUCUUGAAGAUGUCACCAUGUAUCGACAACUUGUUGGUAGUCUUGUUUACCUGACUGUUACUCACCCUGAUAUUCCAUAUGUUGUCCAUAAAGUCAGUCAAUUUAUGGCCGCUCCUCGGUCAUCUCAUUUCUCUGCAGUUCUUCGUAUUAUCUGCUAUGUUAAAGGUACUCUUUUUCAUGGUUUACGCUUCUCUGCUAAUUCAUCCUUGGUCCUAUCUGCAUACUCUGAUGCGGAUUGGGCAGGUGACCCAACAGAUCGUCGCUCAACAACAGGGUAUUGUUUCUUCUUAGGAAGUUCUCUUCUUUCCUGGCGUAGCAAAAAGCAAACAGUUGUUGCUCGUUCAAGCACAGAAUCUAAAUAUCGUGCUCUUGUUGAUGCUACUUCUGAGUUACUUUGGUUACGAUGGUUGUUAAACGAUAUGGGUGUUACACAAUCUUCUGCCACUUUACUUCAUUGUGAUAAUAGAAGUGCAAUCCAGAUUUCCCAUAAUGAUGUUUUUCAUGAGCGCACAAAACACAUUGAAAUUGAUUGUCACCUUGUACGCCAUCAUGUUACUAAUGGCACCAUACAAUUGAUUUUCAUUCCUUCUGAAGAACAACCUGCUGAUAUCUUCACCAAAACACAUCAUCUGGCACGCUUCAAAGAUUUAUCAAGCAAACUCCAUUUGGCAUCCACAGUACCAACUAGAGUUUGAGGGAGGGUGUUAAGAGAAAUUAUAGGGAUACCUUUUGAUGAUAGAUUAAUUAUAGGAGAUUUCAGAAUUACCAUGGCUUUAUUAUAGGAGAUUUCUGUUUUAUGGUAGCUUUAUUAUAGGAGAUUUACAUUGCCAAAUUAGCUAUUGCUGAGAUGUAUAUAUCCCCAUAUUGUAUUCUUGUAAAGUCAAGCAAAACAGAAGCACUGUCUAUUUGACAGUAUUUUCCAAUUCCACUAUCUGUUAACAAU
rnacentral:lncRNA from 1 species